AUUGAACGCUGGCGGCAGGCCUAACACAUGCAAGUCGAGCGGAUGAAGGGAGCUUGCUCCUGGAUUCAGCGGCGGACGGGUGAGUAAUGCCUAGGAAUCUGCCUGGUAGUGGGGGAUAACGUCCGGAAACGGGCGCUAAUACCGCAUACGUCCUGAGGGAGAAAGUGGGGGAUCUUCGGACCUCACGCUAUCAGAUGAGCCUAGGUCGGAUUAGCUAGUUGGUGGGGUAAAGGCCUACCAAGGCGACGAUCCGUAACUGGUCUGAGAGGAUGAUCAGUCACACUGGAACUGAGACACGGUCCAGACUCCUACGGGAGGCAGCAGUGGGGAAUAUUGGACAAUGGGCGCAAGCCUGAUCCAGCCAUGCCGCGUGUGUGAAGAAGGUCUUCGGAUUGUAAAGCACUUUAAGUUGGGAGGAAGGGCAGUAAGUUAAUACCUUGCUGUUUUGGCGUUACCAACAGAAUAAGCACCGGCUAACUUCGUG
rnacentral:rRNA from 1 species